rnacentral:lncRNA from 1 species
AGGUUAUAAUUGGAAAGACCAUAAUAUUGAAGAACAUUGUCAAAGUUGCAGAAGACAUGGAAGGCAUAAAAGAAGUCCAACUGGAGAGAAACCCAAUGAAUAUACUCAGUGUGGUAAAGCCUUUGCAUGUCAUAGUUAUCCUCAAAGGUAUGGAAGAAUUCAUAUUGGAGAGAAACCCUAUGGUGAAUCCUUUGCACCAACCAGUGGUCUACAAAUUUGUAAGAUAAUUCAUACUGGAGAGAAACCCUACAAAUGCAAUCAAUGUGGUAAAGCCUUUGCACGACUCAGUUACCUCCAAAUGCAUAAAAUAACACAUUCUGGACAGAAAACUUACAAAUGUGAUCAAUGUGGUAAGGCCUUUGCAUAUCCUGGUUAUCUCCAAGUACAUAAAAGAACACAUACCGGAGAGAAACCCUAUGAAUGUAAGCAAUGUAGCAAAGCCUUUGCAUUUCCUGGUCAUCUUCAAAGACAUGAAAGAAUUCAUACUGGAGAGAAACCUUACAAAUGUAGUGAUUGUGGUAAAGCCUUUGCAUUUAAUACUAAUCUCCGAGUACAUAAAGCAACACAUACUGGAGAGAAACCCUAUGAAUGUAAGCAGUGCAGUAAAUCAUUUGCCUCUCAUGGUCAACUUCAUUAUCAUGAAAGAAUUCAUACCGGAGAGAAACCCUACAAAUGUAAUCAGUGUGAUAAAGCCUAUACACGACACAGUCAUCUCCAAAUGCAUAAAACAACACAUACUGGAGAGAAAACUUACAAAUGUAAUCAGUGUGGUAAAGCCUUUGCAUAUCAUAGUUAUCUCCAAGUACAUAAAAGAAUACAUACUGGAGAAAAACCCUAUGAAUGUAAUCAGUGUGGCAAAGCCUUUGUAUGUCCUGGUCAUCUUCAAAGACAUAAAAGAACACAUACUGGAGAGAAACCCUAUGAAUGUAAUCAAUGUGGUAAAGCCUUUACAUAUCAUGGUCAUCUUCAAAUACAUAAAAGAACACAUACUGGAGAGAAACCCUAUGAAUGUGAUCAAUGUGGUAAGGCCUUUGCAUAUCCUGGAUAUCUCCAAGUACAUAAAAGAACACAUACCGGAGAGAAACCCUAUGAAUGUGAUCAAUGUGGUAAAGCCUUUGCAUCUCAUGGUUAUCUCCAAGUACAUAAAAGAACACAUACCAGAGAGAAACCCUAUGAAUGUGAUCAAUGUGGUAAGGCCUUUGCAUCUCAUGGUUAUCUCCAAGUACAUAAAAGAACACAUACUGGAGAGAAACCCUAUGAAUGUAAUCAAUGCGGUAAAGCCUUUGCAGGUCAGAAUGUUCUUAAAAGACAUAAAAGAACUCAUACUGGAGAGAAACCUUACAAAUGUAAUGAAUGUGGUAAAGCCUUUGCAUUUAACACUAAGCUUCAAAUACAUAAAACAACACAUACUGGAGAGAAAUCCUAUGAAUGUAAGCAAUGUAGUAAAUCCUUUGCCUCUCAUGCUCAACUUCAAUAUCAUGAAAGAAUUCAUACUGGAGAAAAACCCUACAAAUGUAAUCAAUGUGGUAAAACCUAUUCACAAUCAAGUGACCUCCAAGUACAUAAAAGAACACAUACUAGAGUGUAACCCUAUGAAUGUACCUAAUGUGGUAAAGCCUUUACAAGUCACAGUGAUCUUCGAAGGUGUGGUGGUUGGCCCAUCGCCAAGUGGCACUAUUUGGAGGUGUGGCCUAUUUUAAGGAAGUGUGUCACUGUGGGGGUCGGCUUUGAGAUCCUGUGCUUAAGCUCCACCCAGGGCAGAAGAGUCUUCUCCUGGCUGUCUUCUAAUCAAGAUAGAACUUUCACCUCCUCCAGCACCGUGUUUGGUUGGUCACUGCCAUUCUUGAUGGUAAUAGACUGAAUCUGGAUACCACCCAGCAAUUAAAGGUUGUCCUUUACAAGAGUUGCUUUAGUCGUGAUACCUUUUCACAGCAAUAAAACCCAAAUUAAGACAAAAGACAUCACACUGGAAGGAAACCCUAUGAAUGUAUUAAAUAUGGUGAAGCCUUUGCACAUUUCAAUAGUCCUCAUUAUAACAAAAUUAUUCACACUUCCAUUCACUGAAACCCUGUGAAUGGAAGCAAUGUACAGCCUUUGCGCUUCACAGUUAUCGCUGAAUGCACAAAAAAACCCAUACCUUAUGAAUAUGCUCAGUGUGGUAAAGUCUUUGUGUUUUGAAAUCUGUAUAGAUCCAUAACAAUUCAAACACCUGAUCAAAGUAAAUGCCAAGAGUUUAUUGUGAUAAGCUGUUAGGGUUAGAAGAUUAAGGUUUAAGGUGGUUAAAGUUACAGUUAGUAUUACAAAGUUACGGGUUAGGAUUAGAGGGUUAGGUGGUUUGGGCUGAGGCUGAGUUUAGGGAUAGGUUAGGGUUGGGGGUUUAUGGUUUAGUGUUGGGGCAUUAGGGUUAGUGUUAGGAUCAGGAGCCAACAAGCUAUUAACUAGCAGGUGGUCUUCCUGAGAUGGUUUGCUUCAGAUUAUAAAAAUCCAUGGCAGAUUUGCUCCCAUAGGCAAGGCCCAGUAGAAAAUCAUUUUAGGAAAGAUCCCUGCUAUUAAUAUUCUUUUCCUGUUAUUAAAUAUAUAUGACAAUCACUAGGUAUUAGCUCGCCCUUCUGAGCAGAUCUACAAAGAUGUACUGUCUUGUAGUGAUGCUAUUUAGACAAAUAGAUGAUUUCUUAGUGAUGAUCCUAUAAGAAUUCCUAAAAUUAUAUCAGUGUUUAUUAAGAUCUUUUAUAGCAGGACUGCUACUAGGUCCUUUCUGAUAGUCAAAACUGCAGUGAGAACUCUCCCAGUCUCCCAUGUGUCAAUUGUUACUUGCUCUUAGAUAAUAACCAGACUUUCUCCUACUCAGAGCACAUUCCAAGAGGUUGUAAAACAAUUUACCAAAGGUCAUAAAAAGGUAACUAAUGAUUUAUUAUAGGUUCUAGGACAGAAGUUAAAAUAUUGACUGGGUUUAUCUACACAAAACUUCACUAAUAACUUAGUUAUAUGGUUUUUAACUCUUGAUGAACCUGUGGAGCUGUCACAGGUGAUGGAUGUUUAGCCAGAUAAAUAUUCCUAAUGGAUAUGCAUGUAAACAUUCACUGAUGUAAACUUCUUAUUCAAUUUAUGAUUUAAAUUUAUGUGUAAACUUGUGUUGAACUUUUAAACAUGUGAUCAUGUGUUCUGAAAGAUGCAUAAAUGCUGAGGACAAAGAGGAAAGUGAAUUUUCCCCCUUAUCCCCCUUUUUCAUUAAUUCUGUUUUCCCCCUUUUUCUUAGAGAGCUUUCAUAGGAAACUUUUUAGAACUUAGUAAUAAAUGCUAAAAUCACUA